GUCCCCUCCGUCCACAAUGGCAGCAAGCUGGCCGUUGUCCCCGCCUCGCCGCCGGACCCCGGAGAAGAGCUCGGGCGCAUAGAAAGACAAAUCAUUUAAGGAUCCAGGUUUCCUCUGGGAGUACGUAACCCAAAUGAGAUCCACCACGUCGAAACAGGUUGGCCAUGCUGCUGGAGGACUUCGCAGCCUUUGCCGCCUUCUUGGCAUUGCCCACAUGCAUGCGCACAACGGUGGA